rnacentral:rRNA from 1 species
GACGAACGCUGGCGGCGUGCUUAACACAUGCAAGUCGAACGGAAAGGCCCUGCUUUUGUGGGGUGCUCGAGUGGCGAACGGGUGAGUAACACGUGAGUAACCUGCUCUUGACUUUGGGAUAACUUCAGGAAACUGGGGCUAAUACCGUAUAGGAGCUCCUGCUGCAUGGUGGGGGUUGGAAAGUUUCGGCGGGUGGGGAUGGACUCGCGGCUUAUCAGCUUGUUGGUGGGGUAGUGGCUUACCAAGGCUUUGACGGGUAGCCGGCCUGAGAGGGUGACCGGCCACAUUGGGACUGAGAUACGGCCCAGACUCCUACGGGAGGCAGCAGUGGGGAAUAUUGCACAAUGGGCGGAAGCCUGAUGCAGCAACGCCGCGUGCGGGAUGACGGCCUUCGGGUUGUAAACCGCUUUCGCCUGUGACGAAGCGUGAGUGACGGUAAUGGGUAAAGAAGCACCGGCUAACUACGUG